CACAGGGUAGUAUAAUCGAAUACUUUUUGCUUACACCAAAAAACUGGCUACAUAACCCCCUUUGA
rnacentral:tRNA from 1 species